rnacentral:lncRNA from 1 species
GUACCAUUCUUCGGUCAAGGGUAUACGAUAGCUGCGCUCCCCUGCUAGAACCUCCAAACAAGCUCAAGGUCCAUUUGUAGGAGAACGUAGGGUAGUCAAGCUUCCAAGACUCCAGACACAUCCAAGUAAGGCGCUGCAUGUGGCAGUUUGCCGUUCUUUAAAAGGGGGGGGGAGAGAAUGGAGGCGGGGGGAGGGCCAGGAUAAAGAUCUACAAGAGGGUAAGUGAGAUCUAUAUUGGGAACAAGGGUGGAGGGAAUCAAAUCAAGCUUACCCAACAGUUGAACUGGGAAUCAAAGGCCAUUGUGGGAGGGGGAGGGGCUUGCUCUGAAUUACCCUAGGGGUGGGAGGAGACCUAUUUGCUGAGAGCCCAUUGUAUUAUCAUCAUCAUUAUUAAUUAAAUUUCUAUACUGCCCUUCAAUUGAAGAUCACAGGGUGGUUUACAAUAUAAAAACACAAAAAUAAAUACCAUAAUAACAAAGAUAAACAAUACCCCCAAAUGAAAAGGCCAUUGAUUGUUUAAUAAGCCAAAGGCCUGGGAGAAGAAGAAUGCUUUUGCCUGGCACCUAAAGGUAUACCUAAAGAAAGGGACGUGGAUGGCGCUGUGGGUUAAACCACAGAGCCGAGGACUUGCCGAUCAGAAGGUCAGCAGUUCGAUUCCCUGCGACCGGGUGAGCUCCCAUUGCUCGGUCCCUGCUCCUGCCAACCUAGCAGUUCAAAAGCACAUGAAAGUGCAAGUAGAUAAAUAGGUACCGCUCCGGCGGGAAGGUAAACGGCGUUUCCGUGUGCUGCUCUGGUUCACCAGAAGCGGCUUAGUCAUGCUGGCCACAUGACCCGGAAGCUGUACGCUGGCUCCCUCGGCCAAUAAAGCGAGAUGAGCGCCACAACCCCAGAGUCGGCCACAACUGGACCUAAUGGUCAGGGGUCCCUUUACCUUUAAAGAUGUGUAAUGAAGGCACCAGGUGAGCCUCCCUGGGGACAGCAUUCCACAAAUGGUGAGCAACUGCAGAAAAGGCCUGUUCCUGUGUUGCCACUCUAGACCUCUCAUGGGAGAUGUACACAGAAAAGGGCCUCAGAUGAUGAUCAUAGGGUCUGGGUCAGUUCAUAUGGGGAGAGGCAAUCCUUGAGGUUUUGAAGUCCUGAGCCAUUUAAGCCAUUUAUACACUGAGUUGGCCCUGGAAACUAAUUGGUAGCCAGGAGCUCAAACCUUCUUGCUCUGCUGAUGUCAGGCAGCAGAGGAAACAACUCCCAUGGCAGGUUGCCAGAACAAGGAAAAGUCCUUACCACCUGCGUUUUAUUCAGUAUUUACAGAGAGAGGCUUGGAAUGCAGCCUAUUGGAGUAAUGCUGUUGUCCUGAGUGACUCCCCACCCCCUUUUUCUCCCACUUCCUCAUUCACCACCUUCUCCCCUAUGGGUGGCGCAGAGGGCCCUUUGCUUCUGAGUCCUUUGCUCUACUACUUUCAAGGCUCACUGGGUUCUGGGAGUGGAGGCCGGGAAUGCUUUCUAAAGACACUGUGUCUGUCAGCUGUUGCCCUCCUGGUGCUUCCUCCCCCUCCUCUUCCUCCCCCUCCUCCUCUUCCAUUAUUUCCCAGCUUUCCCCCUCAUCUGCCUCUGAGCUGUGACCUCCCUCAAACCCCUGUUGUAAUUCUGAACUGUCUUCUUCUUCUCUGGCCAUUCCUCCUCUGCCCAGUCCCUGACAGGUGAGCAACCUGGCCACUGAAUUCUGCACCAGCUGAAGUUUCCAAGCCAUCUGCAGAGGCAGUCCCAUGCUGUAGAGAUGGCACUGAGGGGGCGGGCGGGGGCUGCUGAAGACAGUAGAAGAGACACUCCUCCAAAGACUGUGCCACAGCCAUCCUUGCCACCAUGGCGGCAGCAGCAGCAGUGGGAGAUGCUUUCCUUAGAGGCUGGCUCUGCUGCCCCUGCAGAUCCUGCUGUCUGAGGUGGUCACCUCAUCUUGCCUCAUGAGUGGGCUGGCCCUGCUGCCUGGUAUAACAAACCGCCAUGCUUGGGGGGAAAAAGCACAUACGAUGCCAUGAAACUCACUUCAUGGGUGGUCUUGGGCAAACUUGCCAGCCUAAUCUGCCUCUUAGGUUGUGUGAAGCUAAACGGGAUGGGAAUGAUAGCGAUCUUUGCAUACUGAAACAUUCUCGAGAAAUGUUUCAUUCUAAUAAUAAGUACCAUACCUUGAAGGGUUUUUUCUUCUUUCCAAAACUGAUCUCUCUGCAUGUUGCAGUCGUCCUCCUUUCAUUGAUGUCAGACAAUUCCAGUCCCUAAAGGCCUGAGCUUUUAGUCUCUGCCAACCCGCAACCCUCAAUAUUCGACACAAGAAAGAUAUCAGAGAAACACUUGAUUGGAAAAAAUUUAUGUGACAGGUCCUUGUUUACUUCUACUGCUGACUCAGCCCAGGUGCUAUGGAAUUUUGCCUCAAAGGUGUGGCAUUUACAUAACUAGAAAUACUAAAAAAAAACUUUUUAAAAUGGCUUUUAUGGAAGUAAACUCCAUGUAUUAAUAAACUGUACAUACACACCUGGAUUGGUGAAUGUCACCAAAGGAUGGCCCUUCAAAGCCUUUUUACCGCCCAACGGGCCACUGUUGGGUGGUAAAACGAAUGAAUCAUUAAAUAAAUCUGUGUUCGCUUCCAAGCUAAAGUGAUCUGUCAAUCUUCCCCCUAAUACAGCAAACAGCAUCGGCUUGUAAAUGCCUUUCAACUGACUCCCUGUAUUAAAUUUUUUGGGGUGCAGCCUACUGUUUCCCACUGAGUUUGUCUGGACACGCUUACAGCAUUUCCUUCUUCUUGUGCAUUACAUGAUAACAUGGCUCAAACGCUG